CAGUAGAUGGUAGACCAGGGUAAUAUAAUGACAGAUGGUAGACCAGGGUAAUAUAAUGACAGUAGAUGGUAGACCAGGGUAAUAUAAUGACAGUAGAGGGUAGACCAGGGUAAUAUAAUGACAAUAGAUGGUAGACCAGGGUAAUAUAAUGACAGUAGAUGGUAGACCAGGUUAAUAUAAUGACAGUAGAUGGUAGACCAGGGUAAUAGAAUGACAGUAGAUGGUAGACCAGGGUAAUAUAAUGACAGUAGAUGGUAGACCAGGGUAAUAUAAUGACAGUAGAUGGUAGACCAGGGUAAUAUAAUGUCAGUAGAGGGUAGACCAGUGUAAUCUAGUGACAGUAGAUGGUAGACCAGGGUAAUAUAAUGGCAGUAGAGUUUAGACCAGGGUAAUAUAGUGACAGUAGAUGGUAGACCAGGGUAAUAUAAUGACAGUAGAUGGUAGACCAGGGUAAUAUUAUGACAGUAGAUGGUAGACCAGGUAAUAUAAUGACAGUAAAUGGUAGACCAGGGUAAUAUAAUCACAGUAGAUGGUAGACCAGAGUAAUAUAAUGACAGUAGAUGGUAGACCAGGGUAAUAUAAUGACAGUAGAUGGUAGACCAUAGUAAUAUAGUGACAGUAUAUGGUA
ensembl:lncRNA